CUAGGCUACGCCGCUGACCACGACGUGUAAACUUCAAGUUCCUUGGUAUAUGCUCUACGGACUUAUCUUUACUUUUUUGGAUGUAUAAAAGCGGAUUAAUUUUUCUCACACUUAAUGAGAUCAGAAAAAGCAUAAAUUCACUUUUUGUUACUUUUUUCUUGCCGUCGUCGACUGCUACAGUAAUUCUUGUACCUCAACUUUGCAUAAAAUACUUUGUUUAGAUAUAUACCAAGAUUGACGUUUUAUUUGUACCAGAGAAAAUAUAUUUUCGAAAAAAAUACCACUUCCCUUUUUGAAAUUCUCACAUUUUCAUUAUAUAUAGCGUUAUAAUAAAAAUGCUACCGCCAUUAUGUCUUUUAGAUUAUAAAAUUAAAAAAAAUUAGGUGAAAUUAAAUUAAAUUUUGUUUACUCACAACCUUUACUCUUAACUAAACUUGAUGUAAAUUCCCAUAAGAAAAUACAUCAAAGAUUUACCUACCUGCAUAAACCUAGUAAAUAGUAAUAAAGUAAAUAGUAACUAGUAAUCGAGCUAUAUGCUUACGCUUCACUCACAAAUCUCCCGCCGCCUCUACUUACGGGAAAUGGUCGUGUCCAACUUUUAAAAGUGCCGUGAGCAUCGUACGUGAGAUACUACGAUCACUCCUUAUGGUAUGAUAGCGAUAAUCUCUCAUGAUCACCUUUCUCUUAUAAAAUAUAAUCGCGUGGAAGAUUAAGUAAAAAAAAAAAAAAAAAACGGGUAUGCUUGAGACUGCCUAUACAGCUCGUGUUUAUGAUAACUUUCUCAUUACUUCAGAUAAAUUGUACGAACGGUUUAGCCAGGUUAUCGUAUAGUUAAAAUCUUCUUGUUUAUCCUUCUAGCAUUGUCAAGUAUGUCAACUUAACAUCUUAUCUUUAUUGAAUAUUUUUGAUAAACUUUGUACAUAAUUACUAUAUAAUGUGUGCAAAUUAUGUAAAUGUAGAAGGGUAGCUACCUUUUUCGCUGAGAAUGCCAUAUCAUCUUUGUGAGAAAAAUUAAGAGAUCAUGCAGAACAAGAAAUCAAUACGAAAAAAAAUUCCCAAAGCAAAGCCUAAAUCCACAUAAAAACCUUCCUGUCGGAAUAUUUCAAAACCUUCAAUUAUAAUGUAUCACCAUACUUAGGAUUUUUCACCUCCUGUUUGUUUAAAAGUUUCGCCAAAGAUCUAUCUCACCGGGAUAAUUGCAGCUUUGCCUUAAUGCUUUUUCUAGACUAAGAACAAAAUACACUUUGCCGAACAGUAUAUAAAACUCUGGUUUCUCACUAGUUUGCUAACAAUUGCAAGAAGUCACCGGCAAGACAUAAGCCAUGAUACGCCAAAAGAUAGCGUUGGUUCUUGUUGUGGUAUCGCUUAGUUUGUUUUCACAAUCUGCAAAAGGUUACACAAUGGGCGGACUUCACGGCAAGCGGGAAACUACACUUGUCCGGGAAAACAGCAGGUUCUGCGAGAUGGCAAAAAGUCGCUGUGACGAUGGAUGGGAUGUCUUUGGAGUUCGCGACGAGGGCGGCAUUCCCUUUCCAGAGAACCUUGCAAAUCUUGAGCCAGAAAAAAAGUAUUCAACGCGUGCAAAAGGAGAAACAACGUUCAAUUGAGCUGCGCUACUUUCAUAGUCGUGGGUGAAGUGAAAUUUAGCAGAAAGUGAAUGCAAUUAGGACGGAGCUGAGUAGCGUCCUUACCUGUUUACGAAUCCCGGAAAUUGUAGUUAUAAGUUAAAUAUGAAGUCAAUCUAUAAGCAAAAACUUUAAAGUAUUAAUCACAAUAACCCAAAUUCUAGCGAUACAUAUUAUACAGGUUAAUCAACGGUCGAAUAAAGUACGAAUAGGGCCAAAA